GGUGAAUUGAAAGCUGAUCCUAGCAUGCGCUGGAAUGACAUUAACUGUGAACUUCUCCGCAACUGGAUUUGCCAUAUCAAAAAAGGACAUGAGCUGAAACCAGAGCCAACACCUUCCCCUGAGAGCCAACCCUCAGUCACCGAAGAUGGAUGGGUGAUCUAUAAAGAAUACCAGUACUAUUUCAGCAAAGAGAAGAGCACCAUGGAAGAUGCAAG